UGGAAGAAUAAUGUAAAGCGUUCAUCAUUUAAAAAAAAAACAUAGUUAGAGCUAUCUCCUAUAAAAACCCUUUGCUUGGAAGCAAAGUCCUCUCUUUUGCUGUAAAACCUGGAACGUAGUAGUAGUGCGCGCGUGUGUAGCAUCGUAAUUCGAGUGGUUAGUCCGUGUUAGUUACUAUUACAGCACGAUAAUUCGUCGCUAUUAAAAAUUAAUCGAAAUAAUGUGUUAGUAGGACGAAUGCAAAUUACAGUUAGUAAACGUGUAUAAAGCCAGUUGUACGAUUACCACAUAAACCCAAGUUGAUAAAGAAAAGGUCCAUAAAGCGGGCCUUUUCUUUUGUAUCCUUGGCUAGGCCAAAGCUACGAGCGCAAUCCAACCGGUUUUGCAGGAACCGGUUCGUUCCAGUACACCGGAACAAGACUUUUUUGAUUCCGCAAGUGUCCAGAGCAGCAAAACACUGUCGUCGGCCGUGUGAAGGCCUAGUGUUCGCCAUCUUGUCGGGGAUAUGUUGACUCAUCGAACAGCCGGGAACAGGCUCAGCAUUCCAGAGUUGCCGGUAUGCGCCAUCUUAGCGAUGCGAUGUUCGCCAGGUCCACCCUCCGGAACCAGCAUAGUUCCCCAACAGAUGGACGGUCUGAUCAACCGUCCGUCUGAGGCGGACUCCGGACACGAUAGCCAACAACCCGCCAAAACCGAACGGUGGGUCAAUGUCCAGGACUCAAGAAGAGAUACUCAUCUGCUACGGUCAAGCCAUGCCCCAAGUGUCAACUAGAACAAAACCGCAAGUAAACUAUUUCCAAAACGUGACCAUGUAACCUCAAGUACAAUAAACUAGUAUUAAGAAAUGGAGCCUAAUGAAUAGUACUAAAGAGCAAAUCCCAGUCUAUUAAAUAUUUCCACUAAUUUUCUAUUUGUGCGUUUUCUCCGGGCCUACAAAAAGAGCCU